UACGUAGGGGGCAAGCGUUGUCCGGAAUCAUUGGGCGUAAAGCGCGUGUAGGCGGCUCGGUAAGUCUGCUGUGAAAGUCCAGGCUCAACCCUGGGAUGCCGGUGGAUACUGUCGAGCUCGAGUCCGGAAGAGGCGAGUGGAAUCCUGGUGUAGCGGUGAAAUGCGCAGAUAUCAGGAGGAACACCGACGGCGAAGGCAGCACUCUGGGCCGGUACUGACGCUGAGGAGCGAAGCAUGGGGAGCGAACAGGAAUAGAAACCCU
rnacentral:rRNA from 1 species